UGGGAAGAGCAUCCAUUUUCUAAAUGUCCCCCACAUACCACUAAGGAGCAGUCAUACAACUGAGAAUGCAUUCACUGCUGUGACACCACUGUACACUCCUGAUUUUACCGGACAGAACUCUUCAGACAGGUCAUACAUUUAUACUUCGACUUUGAAGUUGAUGCCUACUUUUCUACCAUAUUGGUCCAUCUCAGAGAUGCUGAAAUCCUCUUCAACAUCAAGUAUAAAGUCCCGAACGUGAACAUCCUCUAUGGUUUUGAAAAAUGAACCCAAAAUUAUGAAUUAUGAAAUGCGGAUCCAUUGAAACAUACAAAGCCCAUGUUGCCUUUGUCCUGCAGUAACCCUUCAUGAAUUACCUUGGAACAUUGCCCAACACACCCCAGGAAACAACCCUUAAAUUAUCACUUUUUUUACAAUGAAAUGGGAAGCAGGGGGGAGCGUGCAAUGGAUUUGCAUCAGAGCCCUUGGGUCUUUUUUUCCUGUUUCACCAGAUAUGACCUGUGAAUAUUUCCUCCCUAUGCCCCAAGCCAGA
rnacentral:lncRNA from 11 species